rnacentral:rRNA from 1 species
UACGUAGGGCGCAAGCGUUGUCCGGAAUCAUUGGGCGUAAAGAGCUCGUAGGCGGCCUGUUGCGUCCGCUGUGAAAUCCCGGGGCUUAACCCCGGGCGUGCAGUGGAUACGGGCUGGCUGGAGGCAGGCAGGGGAGAACGGAAUUCCCGGUGUAGCGGUGAAAUGCGCAGAUAUCAGGAAGAACACCCGUGGCUAAGGCGGCUCUCUAGUACGGUACUGACGCUGAGACGCGAAAGCGUGGGGAGCGAACAGG